AUUGAACGCUGGCGGCAGGCCUAACACAUGCAAGUCGAACGGUAACAGAAAGCAGCUUGCUGCUUUGCUGACGAGUGGCGGACGGGUGAGUAAUGUCUGGGAAACUGCCUGAUGGAGGGGGAUAACUACUGGAAACGGUAGCUAAUACCGCAUAACGUCGCAAGACCAAAGAGGGGGACCUUCGGGCCUCUUGCCAUCGGAUGUGCCCAGAUGGGAUUAGCUAGUAGGUGGGGUAACGGCUCACCUAGGCGACGAUCCCUAGCUGGUCUGAGAGGAUGACCAGCCACACUGGAACUGAGACACGGUCCAGACUCCUACGGGAGGCAGCAGUGGGGAAUAUUGCACAAUGGGCGAAAGCCUGAUGCAGCCAUGCCGCGUGUAUGAAGAAGGCCUUCGGGUUGUAAAGUACUUUCAGCGGGGAGGAAGGGAGUAAAGUUAAUACCUUCGCUCAUUGACGUUACCCGCAGAAGAAGCACCGGCUAACUCCGUG
rnacentral:rRNA from 1 species